GACGGAGGAUGCAAGCGUUAUCCGGAAUGAUUGGGCGUAAAGCGUCCGCAGGUGGCAGUUCAAGUCUGCUGUCAAAGACCGGGGCUUAACUUCGGAAAGGCAGUGGAAACUGAACAGCUAGAGUAUGGUAGGGGCAGAGGGAAUUCCUGGUGUAGCGGUGAAAUGCGUAGAGAUCAGGAAGAACAUCGGUGGCGAAAGCGCUCUGCUGGGCCGCAACUGACACUAAUGGACGAAAGCUAGGGGAGCGAAAGGG
rnacentral:rRNA from 1 species